GAUCAGGCUCAGGAUAAACGCUGGCGGCGCACAUAAGACAUGCAAGUCGAACGGAAGUCGUUACGAAAUGGAAUGAAGAUUUAUCUGAUUGAAGUUUUGUAACAAUGGCUUUAGUGGCGGACUGGUGAGUAACACGUAAGCAAUCUACCUAUUAGAGGGGAAUAACAAUGAGAAAUCAUUGCUAAUACCGCAUAAGCUUGUAGUACCGCAUGGUACAGCAAGAAAAGGAGCAAUCCG
rnacentral:rRNA from 1 species